GUGGUUUUUGGGUUUGUCUCAUGCUGUGAGGGACUGUGAAAUCAGCACAGAACAGAUGAUUCACCCAGGGGAAGAGGUUGAUCAGGCAGCACUUGCCUUUCUGUGCAGGUGUUUUGUGCAUUCAGCCACUGGUUCCUCAGGAGCAGACUGGAAAAUGAAGGCAUGCUGGGAUUAAGGGAUUUACCUGAGACCUCUCAAGACUCCUUUCCCCUUGUUUUACCUACUAAAUAUCUCUGCUUCCCUAGAGAAAGUUGAACUCUGGCAGACAGUGGCUUUUUUUCCUUCAGAGGUGUUCCAGGAUGGGAAUAUUCACAGUCCUGUGUUAUCCAGUGUCAGCAGAGGGAUGGGAACACCUCGGACUGAGGUAGUUCUUCACCUUUUCAGGGUGGCAAGAAUAGCAGCAGUGAGAGAUUUAUCCUUGGGGAGGGGAGGAUGCAGGGGGAUCCAACAGCAGCCAUGCAGUACCUACGAGGAGGUUAUUGAGAAGACAGCCAGACUCUUCAGAGCAGUGUAUGGUGAGAGGAAGAGAGACAACAGGUAUUAGUCUGAGGACUGUAGAGUUCCCUGGGCUGCAAGAACUCAUCAGAAGGGAUGCACAGACCAUCACCACCAUUUGUGGCUCCAUCAGGGCCAAACCAGGAGGAGCAGAGCACAGCAAGGAGCCAGGUAACCUCAGACCCCCUAUACAUUGCUCAGAGGGCAGAUAAUAAACUGGUGGAGACCUUGGACUGGACACCACGCUCAACCAGGGAGGCAAAGCUGGCUCAGACUAGUUGCUGGUUGCUGGGAUGGAGUCACUGGGGACUGACACCUUGCUGGGUGCCACACUCAUCCUGAAAUGCAGGGGUGGUCAGGCUUGGCCACCUCUGCCUCUCUGGCAGCUGCUGGGAACACCCCCAGACAGGACCAUGGCACUGUGUGUGCCCUUCCUCUUUUCCCCAUGAGAGCUCUGCAAAGAGGGAACCGGGCACAGGAAGGAGCAUCUCCAAACUGGCCUCCAAACCAGUCCUUGUCACCUCCCUGCUCCAGAGACUGGACUCCACACUGGAGGGGAUCUCUGUGCCAGCAGCUCCUGCACUGACUCCUUCCUCACUCAGCCAGAUGCUGCUGCCCCCUGAGCCCAGGGAGCUCCCAGGGCUGGGCAUGGCAUGAGGGAUGGGGUGGUCUGCUGGCUGGUGGGAGCUGCAGGGCUUUGUCUGUAGCCCUGCUCAUGACCCAGAGCCAUGCUUGGUGCCUGGCUGUCUAGUGGGAACCUCAGAUGUCCUUUCCAAGCCAAAUGGUAGGUUACUUUGACAGGAUUCCACCUGCCCAAAUUCUGUCUGCUCCUUCAAGCCUUUUGGGGUGUGCCUGGGGGUGGUCACCCUGGUCAGUGUGCACUCCAAAGAGGGAAAUCUGGCCCUGACCACUGCUGCAACCUGUCCUCAAGGAGGGAGUUCUGCAGAGACACGAUUCCUGUGCCAAGGGAAAGGCAGGAUGUUGUCAGAGCAGGCUCUCACAUCCAGGCUGUGCUGGGAGCUGCAGUCAUCACCCCUCCCUGUCUGGGUUUGCAACCUGGUCUGCAGGUUGCUUUUCCAUGGACAGUCUUUGCCAUGAUAAAAACUUGAUUGUUAACACUGUGUCCUAGUUAGAACAUCUGGGACCAGUUCAUCAUUGUAUGGGUGUAACCCAAAACUGUGUAUUCUAUAGCCU